CCUACGGGGCGCAGCAGUAGGGAAUUUUGCGCAAUGGGCGAAAGCCUGACGCAGCAACACCGCGUGAAUGUUAAGCCCUUCGGGGUGUAAAGUUCUGUCAAUAGGGACGAAUUUUGACUGUACCUAUACAGGAGGCACCGGCUAACUCCGUGCCAGCAGCCGCGGUAAUACGGGGGGUGCAAGCGUUGUCCGGAAUCAUUGGGCGUAAAGUGUACGUAGGCGGCAAGGUAAGUCUGCUGUGAAAGCCCUGGGCUCAACUCCGGUUCGGCAUUGGAUACUAGCUAGCUAGAAUGUGGUAGAGGUAAAGGGAAUUCCUGGUGUAGCGGUGAAAUGCGUAGAUAUCAGGAGGAACAUCGGUGGCGAAAGCGCUUCACUGGACCAUUAGUGACGCUGAGGAACGAAAGCCAGGGGAGCAAAUGGGAUUAGAUACCCGGGUAGUC
rnacentral:rRNA from 1 species